rnacentral:tRNA from 1 species
CUUUUAAAGGAUAACAGCUAAUCCACUGG